CUUUGAAGUGUGGACGCCAGUCUGCAUGGAGCCGACCUUGAAAUACCACCCUUUAAUGUUUGAUGUUCUAACGUGGACCCGUGAUCCGGGUUGCGGACAGUGUCUGGUGGGUAGUUUGACUGGGGCGGUCUCCUCCUAAAGAGUAACGGAGGAGCACGAAGGUUGGCUAAUCCUGGUCGGACAUCAGGAGGUUAGUGCAAUGGCAUAAGCCAGCUUGACUGCGAGCGUGACGGCGCGAGCAGGUGCGAAAGCAGGUCAUAGUGAUCCGGUGGUUCUGAAUGGAAGGGCCAUCGCUCAACGGAUAAAAGGUACUCCGGGGAUAACAGGCUGAUACCGCCCAAGAGUUCAUAUCGACGGCGGUGUUUGGCACCUCGAUGUCGGCUCAUCACAUCCUGGGGCUGAAGUAGGUCCCAAGGGUAUGGCUGUUCGCCAUUUAAAGUGGUACGCGAGCUGGGUUUAGAACGUCGUGAGACAGUUCGGUCCCUAUCUGCCGUGGGCGCUGGAGAACUGAGGGGGGCUGCUCCUAGUACGAGAGGACCGGAGUGGACGCAUCACUGGUGUUCGGGUUGUCAUGCCAAUGGCACUGCCCGGUAGCUAAAUGCGGAAGAGAUAAGUGCUGAAAGCAUCUAAGCACGAAACUUGCCCCGAGAUGAGUUCUCCCUGACCCUUUAAGGGUCCUGAAGGAACGUUGAAGACGACGACGUUGAUAGGCCGGGUGUGUAAGCGCAGCGAUGCGUUGAGCUAACCGGUACUAAUGAACCGUGAGGCUUAACCUU
rnacentral:rRNA from 1 species